rnacentral:lncRNA from 1 species
UUGUCUGGGUUCGGUACCCAUAGUUACCGGAAGUUGGAUCAUGCCUUCAAUUUUGGUUUCCACAUUGUUGAAGCCAUAUAUAGGCAUGUCUGAGGGUGUUAACUGAGUAUCAGAAUACCCCAUCUUUUCAUAAGCAUCAUAGAACAAGAUAUCCACCGAGGCUCCAUUAUCAACGAGCACUCUCUUUACGGACGAGUUUCCAAUCACUGGGGUAAUUACUAAAGGGUCAUCAUGAGGAAAUUUCACCUUUUCAAGGUCGAUAUUGUCGAAUGCUAGAGCAUAAUCGAUUUUUGCCCGCUUCGGAGGUUCUCCAACUAUAUUCAUCACUUCCCUUGCAUAAGCCUUUCUUGAAUUGCUUGAAGUGCCUGCAGCCGUAGGUCCUCCGGAGAUUACAUUAAUAACAGGCCCUCGAGGCUGAGUUCUUUUGUCAUCGUUGUCUCUUCCGCGAUGAUCACUGUCUCGAUGAUUCUUGUCUCCGUCCUUGGUAAAUUUGGAUAACUUGCAUCUUCGGAUCAAGAACNNNNNNNNNNNNNNNNNNNNNNNNNNNNCGAGACCCCGGUGGUGGUCCGACUGCGUGGAACAUGGAUUUCAGAGAUGUAUUCCAGUCCUCCCAAGGAUGGCAUUAUAAGUUGAUGAGGCUUUAACGACCAAGAAAUUUACCAUGCACGUGGCUUGUCUGGGUUUGGUACCCAUAGUUACCGGAAGUUGGAUCAUGCCUUCAAUCUUGGUUUCCACAUUGUUGAAGCCAUAUAUAGGCAUAUCCGAGGGUGUCAGUUGAGUAUCGGAGUAUCCCAUCUUCUCAUAGGCAUGAAGUUGGAUCAUGCCUUCAAUUUUUGGUUUCCCACAUUGUUGAAGCCAUAUAUAGGCAUGUCAGAGGGUGUUAACUGAGUAUCAGAAUACCCCAUCUUUUCGUAAGCAUCAUAGAACAAGAUAUCUACCGAGGCUCCAUUAUCAACGAGCACUCUCUUUACGGACGAGUUUCCAAUCACUGGGGUAAUUACUAAAGGG